GUUUAUUUUCUUAUAUUCUCUAUUWCUAGCCAACAGGGCGCUAUCCUGUUGGGCGGAGUGAUACUCCCGUUCCUUCUUGGACAGAUUGCCUCCACGUCCUUUGUGGAUCUCAAGGUGAUCAAGUCACUGGUGGAUAGAGCGAAGGUUGAGGAGACCUGAGAGAUUUCCAUGUGGCUUUGCCAGGAGUUGUAGCGAUGCUGUGUGUGUGUGCGGAUCUCCCCUCAUGGUAACAUGAGCCUCACAGGCCGAAAGCCCUGUCCGAAAGGACA
rnacentral:sRNA from 1 species